UACGAAGGGGGCUAGCGUUGUUCGGAAUCACUGGGCGUAAAGCGCGUGUAGGCGGAUUGCUAAGUCAGGGGUGAAAUCCCGAGGCUCAACCUCGGAACUGCCUUUGAUACUGGCGAUCUUGAGUCCGGGAGAGGUGAGUGGAACUCCUAGUGUAGAGGUGAAAUUCGUAGAUAUUAGGAAGAACACCAGUGGCGAAGGCGGCUCACUGGCCCGGUACUGACGCUGAUAUGCGAAAGCGUGGGGAGCAAACAGG
rnacentral:rRNA from 1 species